rnacentral:lncRNA from 1 species
UGAACUUUGGAAUCGGGUGUUUUGUGAUAUCUGUGAUAAGGCGUGAGAGUGGUGUAUCUAAGGGGAAUUGUCUGAAAGUGCCUGAUUUUUGUAUUUCUGUCAUGGAGAGAAAAGGAGUGCGUAAGGUAAACCUGUUGGGUCAUGAGGUGUAGUGAAGGUGAUGGAGCCAAAAGCAAUGCUUGUUGUGAUGAGGUGAAUCUGUGGUGUGAUUUCCCCUUGGGUGUGUUGGGUGAUCAACGGAGAAAAUGGUUAGGAUGGGGU